AUUGAACGCUGGCGGCAGGCUUAACACAUGCAGGUCGAGCGGGGAAGGUAGCUUGCUACCGGACCUAGCGGCGGACGGGUGAGUAAUGCUUAGGAAUCUGCCUAUUAGUGGGGGGCAACAUCUCGAAAGGGAUGCUAAUACCGCAUACGUCCUACGGGAGAAAGCAGGGGAUCUUCGGACCUUGCGCUAUAGAUGAGCCUAAGUCGGAUUAGCUAGUUGGUGGGGUAAAGGCCUACCAAGGCGACGAUCUGUAGCGGGUCUGAGAGGAUGAUUCGCCAAACUGGGACUGAGACACGGCCCAGACGCCUACGGGAGGCAGCAGUGGGGAAUAUUGGACAAUGGGGGGAACCCUGAUCCAGCCAUGCCGCGUGUGUGAAGAAGGCCUUAUGGUUGUAAAGCACUUUAAGCGAGGAGGAGGCUACUUUAGUUAAUACCUAGAGAUAGUGGACGUUACUCGCAGAAUAAGCACCGGCUAACUCUGUGCCAGCCGCCGCAGUAA
rnacentral:rRNA from 1 species